AUUACUCAAAAAGCUGUUCCCAAUAAACCUGUACUGUUGGUUUAAGAUACAUGGUGUAUGCAGGGAGAAGCAACUUCUAAUUGAGCAGUGAAUAUAUCAACAGAUCCUGAGGUGUUUCAUACUGACAAUGGGUGUGUUUAGUGGAUCACUGUAAGGAGUUCCUUAACCCAAUCUCCAGUGAGAGGGAAAUGGAUGUUACUAAAACUGCUUAGGAAUACCAUAAAAAAUGAAGUCUGUCUCAUUAAUAAAACAAGUCUGAAUCAGGUCAAGUCAUCAUGGAGAUAUUGG
ensembl:lincRNA Gm13923 predicted gene 13923